rnacentral:rRNA from 1 species
UACAGAGGUCUCAAGCGUUGUUCGGAUUCAUUGGGCGUAAAGGGUGCGUAGGCGGCGCGGUAAGUCGGAUGUGAAAUCUCCACGCUCAACGUGGAGGGGUCAGUCGAAACUGCUGUGACUCGAGUCCGGUAGAGGAAUGUGGAAUUCCCGGUGUAGCGGUGAAAUGCGCAGAGAUCGGGAGGAACACCCGUAGCGAAGGCGGCAUUCUGGGCCGGUACUGACGCUGAGGAGCGAAAGCGUGGGGAGCAAACAGG